CUUCGGACCUCUUGCUAAUAGAUGAGCCUAGUCGGAUUAGCUAGUUGGUGAGGUAAAGGCUCGACCAAGGCGACGAUCUGUAGCUGGGUCUGAGAGGAUGGCCAGCCACACUGGAACUGAGACACGGUCCAAACUCCUACGGGAGGCAGCAGUGGGGAAUAUUGCGCAAUGGAGAAGAACUCUGACGCAGCAAUACCGCGUGAGCGAAGAAGGUCUUCGGAUCGUAAAGCUCUGUUAUCAGGGAAGAAGAAAAUGACGGUACCUGAUGAGCAAGUCCCGGCUAACUACGUGCCAGCAGCCGCGGUAAUACGUAGGGGACAAGCGUUGUCCGGAAUCACUGGGCGUAAAGGGCGCGCAGGCGGUGAUUUAAGCAGGAUGUGAAAGGCUACGGCUCAACCGUAGACAUGCACCCUGAACUGGGUCACUUGAGUAUUGGAGAGGCAGGCAGAAUUCCUGGUGUAGCGGUGAAAUGCGUAGAUAUCAGGAGGAAUACCGGAG
rnacentral:rRNA from 1 species